rnacentral:rRNA from 1 species
GGGGAAUAUUGCGCAAUGGGGGCAACCCUGACGCAGCCAUGCCGCGUGAAUGAAGAAGGCCUUCGGGUUGUAAAGUUCCUUCGGUAGCGAGGAAGGCAUUUAGUUUAAUAAACUAGGUGAUUGACGUUAACUACAGAAGAAGCACCGGCUAACUCCGUGCCAGCAGCCGCGGUAAUACGGAGGGUGCGAGCGUUAAUCGGAAUAACUGGGCGUAAAGGGCACGCAGGCGGUGACUUAAGUGAGGUGUGAAAGCCCCGGGCUUAACCUGGGAAUUGCAUUUCAUACUGGGUCGCUAGAGUACUUUAGGGAGGGGUAGAAUUCCACGUGUAGCGGUGAAAUGCGUAGAGAUGUGGAGGAAUACCGAAGGCGAAGGCAGCCCCUUGGGAAUGUACUGACGCUCAUGUGCGAAAGCGUGGGGAGCAAACAGGAUUAGAUACCCUGGUAGUCCACGCUGUAAACGAUGUCGAUUUGGGGGUUGAACUUUAGGUUUGGCGCCCGUAGCUAACGUGAUAAAUCGACCGCCUGGGGAGUACGGCCGCAAGGUUA